rnacentral:rRNA from 1 species
AACGCACCUUGCGCUCCUUGGUAUUCCGGGGAGCAUGCCUGUUUGAGUGUCGUGAAAUCAUCAUGGUCAUGAUCUUUAAUUAAUCAUGGCUUGGAUGUGGGGGUUUUGCUGGCUUCGUCAAGAGGUCGGCUCUCCUUAAAUGUAUUAGCUGGUGCCCCGUGUGGAGCGUCCAUUGGUGUGAUAAUUAUCUACGCCGUCGGAUGUCUGCUUUAAAGGGUGUGCGCUGCUUCUAACCGUCUAUUAAGUUGGACAAUCAAUGACAAUUUGACCUCAAAUCGGGUGAGACUACCCGCUGAACUUAA